UACGGGGGGGGCAAGCGUUGUUCGGAAUUACUGGGCGUAAAGGGUUUGUAGGUGGCUUGUUAAGUCAGACGUGAAAUCCCUCAGCUUAACUGGGGAACUGCGUCUGAUACUGGCGAGCUUGAGUGCAGGAGAGGAACGCGGAAUUCCAGGUGUAGCGGUGAAAUGCGUAGAUAUCUGGAGGAACACCGGUGGCGAAGGCGGCGAUCUGGGUAGAUACUGACGCUGAGGUGCGAAAGCGUGGGGAGCAAACAGG
rnacentral:rRNA from 1 species